rnacentral:rRNA from 1 species
AGUGAACGCUGGCGGUAGGCCUAACACAUGCAAGUCGAACGGCAGCACAGUAAGAGCUUGCUCUUACGGGUGGCGAGUGGCGGACGGGUGAGGAAUACAUCGGAAUCUACUUUUUCGUGGGGGAUAACGUAGGGAAACUUACGCUAAUACCGCAUACGACCUACGGGUGAAAGCAGGGGAUCUUCGGACCUUGCGCGAUUGAAUGAGCCGAUGUCGGAUUAGCUAGUUGGCGGGUUAAAGGCCCACCAAGGCGACGAUCCGUAGCUGGUGUGAGAGGAUGAUCAGCCACACUGGAACUGAGACACGGUCCAGACUCCUACGGGAGGCAGCAGUGGGGAAUAUUGGGCAAUGGUCGCGAGCCUGAUCCAGCCAUACCGCGUGGGUGAAGAAGGCCUUCGGGUUGUAAAGCCCUUUUGUUGGGAGAGAAAAGCAGCAGGUUAAUACCCCGCUGUUCUGACGGUACCCAAAGAAUAAGCACCGGCUAACUUCGUG